GGCUGCGCUCGGAGAAGCCCCACCGAGAGUCCGGGAGACGCGGGUUCGACUCCCGCCACCUCCACCA
rnacentral:tRNA from 1 species